GAUGAACGCUGGCGGCGUGCCUAAUACAUGCAAGUCGAGCGAACAGACGAGGAGCUUGCUCCUCUGACGUUAGCGGCGGACGGGUGAGUAACACGUGGAUAACCUACCUAUAAGACUGGGAUAACUUCGGGAAACCGGAGCUAAUACCGGAUAAUAUAUUGAACCGCAUGGUUCAAUAGUGAAAGACGGUUUUGCUGUCACUUAUAGAUGGAUCCGCGCCGCAUUAGCUAGUUGGUAAGGUAACGGCUUACCAAGGCAACGAUGCGUAGCCGACCUGAGAGGGUGAGCGGCCACACUGGAACUGAGACACGAUCCAGACUCCUACGGGAGGCAGCAGUAGGGAAUCUUCCGCAAUGGGCGAAAGCCUGACGGAGCAACGCCGCGUGAGUGAUGAAGGUCUUCGGAUCGUAAAACUCUGUUAUUAGGGAAGAACAAAUGUGUAAGUAACUAUGCACGUCUUGACGGUACCUAAUCAGAAAGCCACGGCUAACUACGUG
rnacentral:rRNA from 1 species